GUGGGUAUUUUUCUUGUUCUUGUAUUUCUAAAGUUUUUUUAUUAAUAAUUUGGAACCAAAUCGAAGGACUAACGAGUUCUGUCCCCUUGUUGUUUUAAGCUUGUAAUAGAUUCAGAUUAAGUAUGCUAAUUAGAUAUGUGCGCAUAAAAAGUGCGCACAAAUCUCAGUGUGUAAUUUUAAAUUCUCAGUGUGUAAUUUUAAAUUCUCA
rnacentral:lncRNA from 1 species